rfam:Scleroderma citrinum Foug A unplaced genomic scaffold scaffold_820, whole genome shotgun sequence.
GGGUCCUUAGUCUAAUAGGUAGGGCACCUAAUUGUCGAUUAGGACUGUACCAGUUCGAAUCUGGUAGGACUCG